ensembl:lncRNA
CACAUUUUUCUCAAAGCAGCUGGGGUUGCCAGAUACCCUUUUUAAUAUGGGACUUCCCAUAUUUAAGCCUCAAAUCUCAAAUGCUGUAUUAAAAACACGUGAUGCAUUGCCUGCUCUUGUAUUUCCUCUACAUUUUAAUAGGGGACACACGUUGUGAGGUUGAAACGCAGAAAAUCCUGCAGCUGCUUUCCUGCCCUGUUCUUAGAGCCUCCUCUGGGAGCACAGAGACACGAUCCAGUUGGUGGCUGUGACAGGAGCGAGAACUGGAGCAGCCCUAAGGAGCUGAGGAGGGCUGCAGGGCAAUGAGCACACUGAGGCACCAGAAACACACACCGGUGUAUUAAAGUUCAGAAUGCAGCAACUCCCCUCUGCUGCCCCACGUCAGGUGUGCUUGAUCCUCCUGCCAAGGACUCACUGUGAUAAGAAAAUAAAUAUUUUUGUUUUGUAGGCAAUACGUUUGCUUAUACAGCUCAGGAGAUAGCAAUCCAGGUCACUAACUUUGGCUUGGGAUUCUCUAUGAUCUCUCCUCUACAAAAUACUAGCCAGAUAGUCAUGCUUUGUCCUGCAUUUGGUUACUUGUUCUCUCUAAGUACCUUGUCACCUCGUCUUUACUGAAGUUGACUUCUUUUUCACCAGAACACUUCUCAACUUGUCAGGAUCAUUCUGACUUCAAGUCCUGCCCUCCAUUGCUCUUGCCAUUUCUCCAAGCCUGGUGUUAUCUGUGCAUUUAAUAAGUCUGCUUGCUUAUAAAGCAUACAAAUUGUUAAAGAAAACACUAGAACCAGACCUUGGACAGAUCUUUGAACUAUAUGUGAUGUCUCUUUAAUUUAUUUCCUCAGAGAAGCAUCUACUCUGUUAUUUGGAGCAAUUCAGGAGCGGAACAGAUUCCCACAGACAAUUUCCAUGGAUACUACACAACACGGAGGUCUAAGCUUGCUUCCUCCGCUUCCAGAUGUGUGGAAUUACUGCGUUGCUCACAGCAUCAGCUCUUGUCUCUGGAAGCAAAGUCUGGAAGGCAUCCCGACUGUCCUCAUCCCUCCCCUCCGCGGCAGUAUCACUGUUCUGUGGACACAUGUGCAGAUCUAGCUGGAGCUGAUGAUCAACCCAAAGGAGGAACCGUCUCAGUCCUGAGAAUACAAAAUAGCUACCACAAAAGACAGCAGUGGUUCGUCUGUGGGUUCCCAUGCAACUUGGAAAUACAAGAGAGAAAUCAUCAUUGCCUUUUGCAGCCUGUAAGAUUUGUGACAGCCAAUUGCAGCGAUAUCCAUAACUUCUGAAAAAGAAAACAUCAUUUUUCUCCUACUGGCAUAUCUCAACUGCACGAGAAGCGUUUCUUUCAGCAUCACCGAAGGCCUGGGAUAUCUCACUUCAUGAAUCACAUUAGAUGUCUUCUCCUAAUUUUGUACGACCAUCUGUGAAUCUUUCCAACCCAGGUUCCAUCAGGAGCAGGAUCUGGCAGUUGGAAGAGAUUUGAGACCAACUCACUCGAUCCUUUUCCUGCUGCUCAGGCUGAUGAUAUUUCAGCAUAAAAGGAGGCUUUGAGCUGGUGUUGACUGCUCUUUCUCCUCUUUUCAAGUUGCAGUGCAAAGCUUUGGAUGACUGAAGUGGGAAGGACAGAGGAAAGAAAAGCAACCCAAAAGGGAAGUUAUCCUGAAGAGCAGGAAGGCUGAGAAUUGGGACCUUCAGUUUCUCUAAGCCUUCACCAGCACACCUGCUUGAGGGGCCGCAGAACUCCAAAGUUCAUCAAUACUAUGUGAAUCACUGCUGGAGACUGACAUUAGAAAUCCAUCUUCAUGCUGGCCUGGUUCCUCAUCUCCUACAUCACUAAAUUACAACUUAAAUCCAAAUAUCUCCCAAAUGUUUUGAUACAAGACCUAAAAAACCCCCAUUUCUCAGCUCCCUGAAGACUUCAUAGACCAUAUGCUUCUCAAAGGAGAAGUUAUGCUGUUUCACUUCUUUCUAAUGACUGUUGGCCAAUGGGAAAAUGUAUAACUGAACAACUUAGGUUAUGUCCGCUUGGAGAAGUUGAAGAUUUCGUUAGAUGCUGGACAACAAUAUUCACAUCCAAAGCACUCAAUUUCCAUGCUGCAUCAGGCUUAGUCUCAGUCUCCCCAGAACACAGUGAAAAGACGUGACAGUAGCUUUCUGUGUAGAAAUAUAUUUGGCAAAUAUAUAAACCCUGCAGAGCAUCCCUUGAGAGGCUAAAGGAAUUUAAACUUAAGUCCCAUGCAGAUCUCCUCUAAGGUGUUAUUUUCCCCCCUAAAUACCAUGUUGAAAUUCUACUUUUACCAAGUUUAAAACUGGAAGCUACAUUAUGUUUGCAGAACUGGAAAUCUCAGUGAAUAAAUAAAUCUUGAGAAGCACAGCUACAGGGAAACAGGCACAGACCUUGCACCAUUCACAGCUUUAAAAAAAGUGUUGGAGCUUAGUAAAGCCAGCAUCACACACACAGCAAAUUAGAAGGAGGGCACGCUCUCCUCAUGAACUUGGGGAAAACCCACACAUUUCAAAAGCACAUAAUUCAGCUGUAAAAUGUUAACAACUGUUUUCCAGACUUCGCUUUGGUAUACAAAAUUCAGCCCAGAAACUCUUCCAUUUCACAAAGUAUGGUUCAAAUUAAGGGGAAAAAACAACCCUUUACAUAUCUUUGCAGUGUUUUUUUUUUUUUCCACAACACCAGAGUUCUGUCAAAGUGGGAAUCUUCAUAAAAACAACUAUUCAUAUUCUAUGGUUUAUUUAUGCAAAUUGGAUGGGCAAUGUUAAUUAAAUGAACACUUAGAUCUGUGUAGACCUUUUUACCAGUAGGUUUCAAGAAGAUAAAGUAUGAGAACCUUACUUUGGAACCAAAGAAAUGAAGAUCUGGAUAGGUUGGAUAGCUGGGCUGAAGCCAAUGGGAUGGGAUUCAACAAGACCAAAUGCCGGGUCCUGCACUUUGUCCACAAUAACCCCAGGCAAUGCUACAGGCUUGGGGCAGAGUGGCUGGAAGACUGUGUAGAGGAAAUGGACCUGGGGGUGUUGAUUGACACUAGACUGAACAUGAGCCAGCAGUGUGCCCAGGUGGCCAAGAAGGCCAAUGGCAUCCUGGCUUGUAUCAGAAAUAGUGUGGCCAGCAGGAACAGGGAAGUAAUUAUCCCCCUGUACUCAGCACUGGUGAAGCCACACCUUGAGUACUGUGUCCAGUUUUGGGCCCCUCACUGUAAGAAAGACAUCGAGGCCCUGGAGCGUGUCCAGAGGAGGGCAACAAAGCUGGUGAGGGGUCUGGAGCACAGGCCUUAUGAAGAGCGGCUGAAGGAGCUGGGAUUGUUCAGUUUAGAGAAGAGGAGGCUCAGAGGAGACCUUAUUGCUCUCUAUAACUACCUGAAGGGAGUUUGUAGUGAGCUGGGGGUCGGCCUCUUCUCUCAGGUGACUAGUGAUAGGACUAGAGGGAAUGGCUUCAAGCUGCACCAGGGAAGAUUCAGGCUGGACGUUAGGAAAUACUACUUCUCUGAAAGGGUGGUCAGGCACUGGAAUGGGCUGCCCAGAGAGGUGGUGGAGUCACUGAACCUGGUGGUGUUCAAAGAGCGUUUGGAUGUUGUGUUGAGGGACAUGGUUUAGCGAGAACCAUUGGUGAUGGGCGAAUGGUUGGACUGGAUGAUCCUGUGGGUCUUUUCCAACCUUAGCGAUUCUAUGAUUCUAUAAGAAACAUUGUAAGUGACGUAUGAGCUGAUCUACCAGACUAGGAACCAAGCCAGGAGAAAGGCAAACGAAGGGAUGGAUGCAUGCAAUAAAAGCCUUCAAAUGAUGCCAGGCUGGAUUUUUUUCCUGUGACAGACAAUUAUUGUACAGUUAUGGUCUUCUAAUUAACCAGUUAAAGUACAGUUUCUGCAAUUGUCCUACAUAUGUAGGUACCUGGAUAUUAAGCCUAUAGUUUCAUGAAGUACAGAAAUUCAGUUCCCUCUGAUCCCCCUGAGAAGAAAACAGAGAACAAAACCAACCACCAUUUACCUUCCCCUGAACACCUCUGCUGGUAACAGCUUUGUAAAAUAUUCCUGUGCAAUAUCUACUGAGCAUUAGCAUUGUGCACUUCAUACAGUGAUGCAUCACUGUCCUUUGCUGCAAUUUUAGUUAAUUACCCCAUGAAAAACUUAAAAGAUUUAAGCUCAUAAAAAGUAGUAAAUAAUACAUAUCAGUAGUUUGAUUUCUUGCUACAACACAAAGUUGGAAGUUCAGCCUUCAGUAACCUCUGAGCUAUUUCUUAUCCCCACAGCUUCUGUGACAGUACUACAGGAACGUCUAUCUGUACACAGCAUACAAUAUUACCCUUUAUGAAGGCAGCACUGGAACGGAGAUAUAUAAUUAAUUACAUUCAAUUUAGCACCAUGGAUUUAAGGAUUUGCCUUCCAUUAGCAAACAGAGGAGGGAAACUUAGAAAGUAGAUAACAUCUAUUAUAGACAGAUCAUAUAAAUGACUAUUUCACACUUAUUUAAUCCUUCAAAAGCACUAUCAGAGAAAAUAGUUGUUUCUUAUAAGCAGAUGUACUGUUUGAAGGCACUCAGAGCAAUAUUCAGAUGCUGCUGUAUGGAGUGUGUGUUAAGGAAAGCCCAAAGCAGUUGGGACAGUCUGCUGUAAGCUGGCAGGGUGAGGGCAGAGGCUGCAGACAGUGCAUGGAUGGAUGUGUGCAUGGCUGGGGAUAGAUGCAUGGCCACACUGCCAAAGAGACCUGCCUAGCUCUUGGGCUGGGUGUAGAGGCAGACAACCCUGAUCUUCAGCACAAUGGGCAUGCAGCAAGACUAAACAGAAAAGAAGAUACUGGGAGAAAAGUGAUGGCUUGAGACUUUUUCUGAAAAAAAAAAAAAUCAGAAGAACCCCAACUCCGCUACAACCAAAAAUCCAAUAAUCCAAAACACUUCAUCUGUGAAAAGAAUUCAAAUUCAAUUAUUGACUGCACAACAAAUUACUGCAUCUCAGUCAGAGGCCGUACGUGGAAGCUGAAACACUGAGAACACAGCUAGAACGUAUUCCAAACGCAGCCUUCACCCAGGACUCUCUGAAGCACAGUCGACAUCAGAGACAGCAGAGCAGGAAAUAUGUUCUCAGAUGGAAAGGUCUGCUACAUUCCUCCAAGAAUUGCCCUCUAGAGCUGGAGCCUCUUUGUCUAACAGGUACAGCUGAGGCAGGUCCCUGUGCUUUGAAACACUGCUGUUAGAGAAGAAUCGAGGUAUGGCUUUUGGUUCAAGACUGAAUGGUUGGUACUGACAAACUCUGGAGUAGGCAGCAGGAUUCUGCUUUCACGUAUACAUUUGUUUCACAGCCUGAAGCUGGAAAAGCUUUAAUUUAAAUCUUACUGAUAAAAUAGAAAAAAAAAGCUAUUGAUCUUAAUAAUUUUUUUAGCAUGCAUGGUAUUUUUAUUAAUGAUUAAUAACCUUACUAUACUAUCACAAUAUAUCUGUAUAGGUAUUUUUCUUGUUAAAGUAUACAAUUUAGGUGUAAAACAUUUCAUUUAAUUCAUCUCCAACACUACUAACCUUUUCUUACUUAAAUCUGUAAUGCAAAUCUAUAAAAAUCACCAUCAGCUAUAACAGAUGAGUCCAUUGAAAGGCAGUGGCCCUAGGGAUGGCUCUGACCUCCUGAUCUUUCCAUCGCCACUGCUCACACAGCCAGGACUCCUUUGUCCAGAUCAAACCUUUCAUUAGCUGGCACUGAUGAUCAGAGCACUCUGAUCUCUCCCACAUCUCUCUGGACAUGGCUUUUAUGUUCUGCUGCGCCUUCAUGAGACUAAACAACAAUCAGCAUUUGACUCUAAAACUCUUCUCAUGGCCAUCUUACAGUUCAGACACGGUCCCCCCAGGAACCUGUAGCAUGGGGGUCAUAGAAAUCUCAUCCUGUUCCCCCUAGAUACAUUCACAUAUGUCCACAUCAGGUAGAAUACAUGUAGCAAAACCAAACUGGGCAUGCACAAUCACCUGUAGUUUCUUCAGGCAAGGCCACCUCAGAGAUGCAAGAAUAACAGCCUAGGAAAAGUUUUAGAGACCUUUUUCCUGCCAACAUACACAAACCUAGUUACUUUGUUCCAAGGGGCCAGCUUCAUCAUGUACCAUACUGGUAGUUAAUUCGGCCUAAAUGCUUGCCAGUUUUUAAUACAGCUUCCCUAAAGUUGCUAUUAAUCUGGGGUGAAUAUAAAGUGCACUGCUUUCUCCCAGCUUGUUUCAUCCUCUGAUUACAUUCACAUAUUCUACGCAGCACAGCUGUGAACACUUCAGGAGCAGCCAUCCUGAAGAUGGAGAUUGACCAUCCAGUACAACCCACCCCAUCCCAACACUCUGAUUUUCUUUCUGUAGGGUUUCACCAUCGAUUGUAGCCUUCCCAAAUCUUAUCUAACACUAUCUCAUCUAGUCUGUGUUCCAAAAUUUGAUUUAUGCACCUGUAUUCAUUCAUUUUUCACUUGGCUUUGCUGUAAUGUCUAACAGCAGAGAUAGCAUUUGUACUUCUGAUAGCUCAAAAGUUUACACAUCAUUUGAAAGCCAUGCAUUUGCAGAUAGAUAAAAAUAGUCUUAGUGUUUUAAUUAAGUGUUUGCAGUGCAACAGUCAGCGUUGGCAAUGGCAACAGUCAGUUACAGCUAAUGAUACCUUUUGAUAAAGGCAUCAAAUUGUUUUACCCCCAAACCAACCUGUACUACUUUGAGUAAUUUUUGCUGGCACCUCUGGCUUAUGUGCUGCUGAUGGUCAGUUUUUAUUCUACCGAUGUGUACUGUUAUGGUAAUUGGAGGCUAUUUUAGACUAUUUGUGUUUACCCUUAUUGCUAGUUAAUCCCCCCAGAAUUGUGAAGCAUCACUCACAGAUUUUCCAUGUUAGCUGUUAUUUUGCCACUUCUGCACAGAAACUUGCUUGAAACCACCUCAAAUCACAGAUUUGUUGGCUAAGUUCCUAUUACCCUCAGCAGCUCUGUAUUAGGACCUACGUGGCUCAAUUAAUCAGGUGGCUAACACCAAGCAAGUCUAAAGACAAGGAUGAAUGGAAAGCAUCCUGGGGGACAGCUGUGCAGGAAAAUUAAAGUCAAAAAGGAAAGUUGCAGUAGAGACCACAGUAGGACAGAGGAGGAGCUCCUGGCUGUGAGCUGUCUGCAGCUCCAGGAGCCCUGGCUUUUGGCACUUUGUGAAGAAUUGCAGCUGCUGAUGCUGUCAAUAGUCCAGAAAAAGUAGCAGCUGCAAGGGAAGGAAGGAGGACUGCUUGGGACUUCCUGACUGACCUCACACUUCUGUAGCCCAGAUCAUUUCUCCUUCUCCUGCCAUACUUCACCCAUAAAAACACUGAUUACUAUGAUUUCAUGCAGGUGGAGGAAAUUUCACUUUCACGGCUUCAGAGUUGUUUCAUUUUCAGAUCCUAAGGGUUUCCACAGCUUGGAGAGAUCACAGGAGUGAUAUUUUCAAGCGUGGGGCUUGGGGGCUCUCAGUAUUGGGACCUGCCUUUUUACUACUGCUGGAAAGGUCCAGAACUUGAGGGUUGAAAACUAUCAAGUGAACAUCAUACAACAAAAUACAAUUUUCACAGAAAAUGGUUUCUCUUUGUUAAAUUUCACAUCUACUCAUUGUAAAAGCAUCCCCAUAAAACAAAAAAAAAAAGUGUUCAUGUUAUUUUGUGUGAAAAGACAAAACACUUAUUAGAAAGCAUAACGCUUUUUGAUUCUUGUCUUACAGAAUAAGCUACGAAUCCUCAACAUAUAAAGUGACUAUAAAGUAAAAACUAAUUUCUCAUGUAGUUACUCUGUUCCUGAGACCUUUCUGGCUAUCUAAUAUAUUUCCAAAGGAACAUGUUGUUUUGAUAACUGAAUACUCAAUUAGAUAUUCCUCUAGCAAACCAAUUCAGAACUUCCUAUCACGAUCUUCUGUACAGCUACACAGAUAGGGCAUAUAAUUGGACAAAACUUUUCACAGCCACAAGAUUAAGUUUCUUCUUUAAUAAAUAAUUCUUUUUAUUAUUAAAACAUAUGUUAAAUGUAUAUUGUAGACAACUGUAUAGCCAUUUUGGAAGGCUUAUAGUAAGACCUUGUGAUACUAUACUGAGAUGACAAUAGCAGAGUGGCAAAGUCUUUGGCUACAGCAAAUGAGAAUGAGCCCAAAUUCAGCAGCCACAGAUGCAGAGACAGAUAAAAAGAGCUACUUACUUCUAGAAGGCCUCAGAUAAGCAGGGAACCCUAGCAAGAUAUGCCCUCACCUCCACUGACAACCCUUAAAUGAGAUCUGGGAAGGGGUGGAUCCUGGCUGCACCCCUUCCAGUCACUCAGGUGCAUUGCAUACACCUGAGCUCCUUUGGGUUUGCCCUGCCUUCCCACCAGGUGCUCAAUUGCUGUUUCAGACCAUGACUUAGCAUUUCCACUACAGACCUGAAGCCCUUCAUGUCUGUGUUAUGCUUUAGGGUCUCUGUGAAAGACUGUAGAAUGGGAAAAUACAUCUGAGCUCAUAACCAUGGGCAGCUGGGACCACGGAGUCAUCUCCUUACUGUUGUUUUGAGCCAUCUCUUUGGAACUGCUUGGAUGGAUGCAGCUCCUAGCUGGGUCACAGCUAGCAGCACUGCCAAGUCUGUGAAUGGCUUUUUGACAUGGAAAGUCUACUAGCAGUAGAAGGGCUGGGGGUUGGUAUCUAUUGUACAAUCUAAAGCUAGAUCAGAAGAGAUGGAUAUAGGAAGGAUAUUGAACCCUUACUGUGGAAUAGAUUGGAGUACUCCAGUUUUCCUUCUAAAAAAACAAGAAAAUAUAGCAAGAAAAAAGGCUGGUAGGAAUUUUCUUUCGAAUUUCUCAUUUUCUCCUGCAUCAACAAGUUUCACUCAGUCCUUGAGAACAGAUCCAGGCAUUUUUCACCCCAAGCCCUCCUGGCUGCUGCUCACAAAGGACAACCACUGUUCCUUGGCUUACCAAGCGCUUAUCUAGAGGGAUGCUGUCCCAAAAGCUCUCUGCUUAAUAAAAACAUUCCAUCCAUCACACAUCAUAAAAAUGAAAUAGAGGGGCAUCAGACAGCAAACAUAAACACUCCCACAGACCUCUUACCACUGUAAAAUAAUUUAUGGGGUUGAAACUACAUUGGCAUACUGUCACUGGUAAUGUUCCCACUGGCUUACCAGCACCUUCAGUUUUUUUGGCUGUUUGCAGAACAAUUCCAGCUCUGCUUCCAGCUCAACAAGUAAUUUUAUUUGGGUCUGGCUCUUAAGAAAGUCUCAGAUGUGUCCAACUGUCCCUCACUGAGUAGAAAACUGUGUUGAGCUACAUCAGAGUAGCCAUAGGUAAGUUCAUUUUAAGCUUUGUGGCUUUUUAUAGAAUAAUUCCAAAGAAAAGGUGUAAUUAAUUGCCACUGCCUCAUUUUUGUCCUCCUCAGACAUCUCAAAGAAAUCACUGCAAGAGGCCUAGGCAACAAAAAUCUUUCUUACAAGAAGACAGUCUUUCAUUACCACAAAAGCCUCUCCCAGGGAGCAGCUCUGAAACCAAAUGGAAAGCCUCAGGCAGAAAGUAAAACAGUGAGUUUGCAGACUGAGCCGCCACCAGAAGCACACUGGUAUUGCAAUUGGAGAUUCAAUUGGGUUUUGGGAGACUUUGCAAUGCUAAGACACUACUUAAAGGUACUUCUCAUAUCUAACAUAGCACUGAGCUUUUACGAACAUAAAUCUUAUGGAUACAGAAUACAAAGCUCAUUACAAAAUCUACAUCACAUGACUUGGCCAAUUUUAUUUGAAUGCCCUUUCCUAGCUGUGCAUUUCUCUCUUUUUCACUAUUACAACAGUGUGUGGCUACCCUGAGAAGUGGUACCACUGAAAUGAAUUGCAAAGUGCAUGAUGCCUACUACUGUACCACUGCACGCUUUUCCAGCACUAGCUAGAGAAUGCUAGAAUGAGAGUCCUAAAGGAAUUCUGUACCUUUAUAACCUCAUAAACUUAGAAGCUUAAUUCUUUGUAAGCUCAUUGAGAUCAGUUGAAAAAUAUGGCUGGGUCGAGUGUGUUGGAUAGGGGGGAAAAUGCAUUGGAAAUGUGUCAUUGCAGAGUGUUUGCUGCACCAGAACAGCCUUAGGUGGGAAAUGAGAGACACAGCAGAUACAGGAUAUAGAGAGGGAGAAAUGCAAGCCAUUCAAAUAAUGCAGAAGCUGCCUUCCCAGUAAAGACUCCUGUUGUUACAGUCACUUAAGUUCAAAAGGGAAAAAUAAUGAUGGACUGUGUCCUUAAAUAAUGUCGGAAUAUUCGAGCGCAGUUACCUGAAAAAAUGCAGGAUAAAUUUGGAAAGCCUAUGGUGUUAGAUAUAAAAGUCAGCUUGCACAGAGCUAAGACCAGACUUCUGUGCUGAUAAUAUAGGUAAAUAAGGUAAUACUUAGUUGAAAAAGUGUGGCUUGGAAUUCUUUUUCUGUUUGUAUCUCUUGAGUCACAUACAAAUACACUGAGAGUUAAAAAUGGGAAAAAUCACAGUAAUGGCUUUAUUUAUGAAAGCUGCCACUUCUUUUGCCAAGUCAUUUGGAGUGUUCUGCAGCAAAAUAAACAUAUGGUGAAAAUAUAAACACAGAGAUAUGAAAACAACCUCUUCACAUUUAAACAAGAGUCAUUUGAGAAAAAUGCCAAAUAAAAAACUAGAAAAAGGAAGAAG